rnacentral:tRNA from 1 species
GCGGAUGUGCCAGAGCGGUUAAUGGGACAGACUUGAAAUCUGCUGGGCCCAGCCCACACGAGUUCGAAUCUCGUCAUCCGCU